AACGAACGCUGGCGGCAGGCUUAACACAUGCAAGUCGAGCGCCCCGCAGGGGGAGCGGCAGACGGGUGAGUAACGCGUGGGAAUCUACCCAUCUCUACGGAAUAACGCAUGGAAACGUGUGCUAAUACCGUAUACGUCCUUCGGGAGAAAGAUUUAUCGGAGAUGGAUGAGCCCGCGUUGGCUUAGCUAGUUGGUGGGGUAAAGGCCUACCAAGGCGGCGAUCCAUAGCUGGGCUGAGAGGAUGAUCAGCCACACUGGGACUGAGACACGGCCCAGACUCCUACGGGAGGCAGCAGUGGGGAAUAUUGGACAAUGGGCGCAAGCCUGAUCCAGCCAUGCCGCGUGAGUGAUGAAGGCCCUAGGGUUAUAAAGCUCUUUCACCGGUGAAGAUAAUGACGGUAACCGGAGAAGAAGCCCCGGCUAACUUCGUGCCAGCAGCCGCCGUAACAC
rnacentral:rRNA from 1 species